UCCAGUUGUUGAUCAUGAUCUCCAUCUUUUCUCUCUUGUUUUCAAGCCAAACCCUUCUCCUCCUGCGCCGUCAAACGAACAGUACAACACAAGAGAUCCAUCUAGAUUUCCUAAAGGCGAACCUGUGAGGAACUCGGUUACUUUCCCCAAAAAGCUCCAGAGACAGUGAGGGUUUUACACACGGCAACUUCCGUGAAGUAUCAAUGACAAUUUGUUUCAGAUUUGUACUUGUUGUUAUUAUAUGUUUUUGGUUCGGUCGAGUACAACUUAUCUAAAUGUAGUAAUUACUUAUGUUUCAUAAAAGAUGGGAGAUUUGGUGGGCGAUUAAGGAGAUAA